AUGGCCGGCGACACGCUCAGGGUAGCCGACCUCCCGGGCCGCGGCCGCGCGCUCCUCGCCGCCCGCGACAUCCUCGAGGGCGAGGUGCUCCUGUCGGAGUCGCCCAUCCUCCUCUACCCGUCCUCGCUCGCUUCCCUCUCCUCCUACUGCUCCGCCUGCUUCCGCUCGCUCCCGCCGCCGCCCCACGCCCCCUGCCCUUCCUGCCGCGCCGCCGCCUUCUGCUCCCCUGCCUGCGCCGCCGCCUCCCACCCGCGCCUCCUCUGCGCCGCGCUCUCCGGCGGCCUCGCCGCCGCCCCCGAGGCGCACCAGGAGCCCCUCCUCUUCCUCCUCUCGGCCUACUCGCUCCAGGAGCCCUCCCUGGGCGCCCUCCUCUCUCUCUCCUCGGCUCCGCAGGGCCCCUCCCCGAGCCAGCAGCAGGACGCCGCGGGCCUCCACGCCGCGGUGGCGUCGGUGGCGCCGCCGCACAUGCUGCCCGCGGGCUUCUCUCCGGACCUCACGGCGGCCCUCCUCUCCAAGGACCGGACCAACAGCUUCUCCAUCCUGGAGCCGUACCGCCCCGACGUGCCGCUGGAGCUCCGCAAGGCGCGGUGCUGCGCGGUGUACCCUCGGGCGUCACUGCUGAACCACGACUGCCUGCCCAACGCUUGCCACUUCGAUUAUGCCGACAGGCCGGGGCCGGGGAACACGGACAUCGUCGUGCGCGCUCUCCAUGGCAUAACAGAGGGGAAGGAGGUUUGCAUCAGCUAUUUCGCGGCCAAUUGGAGGUAUGCUGACAGGCAACGCAGGCUGCUGGAGGAUUAUGGGUUCCGGUGUGAGUGUGAUCGGUGUCAGAUUGAGAGCAAGUGGAAGUUUGAUGAUGAUAAUGAUGGCGGUGAUGGGGAUGAUACCAUGGAAGAGGGGCAUGGCAAGGAGGUUGCUGAAGAUGGUGGUGAUGAGGGGAUGGAGCAGGAGGAAGGGAGUGAUGACGAUGGCGACGAUUUCCCGCAUGCCUUCUUCUUUGUGAGGUAUCUGUGUGAUCGUGAGGACUGCUAUGGCAUGCUUGCACCGCUGCCGCCCUUGCCGAGCGGUGAGCUGUCCCACAUAUUUGAGUGCAAUGCCUGUGGGCAACUGAAGAAGGAAGAAGAUGAGGAUGAGCCUGAUGCUGGUGAAUGCAGCAUGGACCAGUAG
rnacentral:rRNA from 1 species